AUUGAACGCUGGCGGCAUGCCUUACACAUGCAAGUCGAACGGCAGCACGGGAGCAAUCCUGGUGGCGAGUGGCGAACGGGUGAGUAAUAUAUCGGAACGUGCCCAGUCGUGGGGGAUAACGUAGCGAAAGCUACGCUAAUACCGCAUACGAUCUAUGGAUGAAAGCGGGGGAUCGCAAGACCUCGCGCGAUUGGAGCGGCCGAUAUCAGAUUAGGUAGUUGGUGAGGUAAAGGCUCGCCAAGCCGACGAUCUGUAGCUGGUCUGAGAGGACGACCAGCCACACUGGGACUGAGACACGGCCCAGACUCCUACGGGAGGCAGCAGUGGGGAAUUUUGGACAAUGGCGCAAGCCUGAUCCAGCAAUGCCGCGUGCAGGAUG
rnacentral:rRNA from 1 species